rnacentral:rRNA from 1 species
ACAGUGGACGCGAGCAUCUGUGGCCAAGUUUUUAAGGGCGCACGGUGGAUGCCUUGGCACCAGGAACCGAUGAAGGACGUGGGAGGCCGCGAUAGUCCCCGGGGAGUCGUCAACCAGGCUUUGAUCCGGGGGUUUCCGAAUGGGGAAACCCGGCAGUCGUCAUGGGCUGUCACCCACUGCUGAACACAUAGGCAGUGUGGAGGGAACGCGGGGAAGUGAAACAUCUCAGUACCCGCAGGAAGAGAAAACAACCGUGAUUCCGGGAGUAGUGGCGAGCGAAACCGGAUGAGGCCAAACCGUAUGCGUGUGAGACCCGGCAGGGGUUGCGCAUGCGGGGUGGUGGGAUCUCUCUUUCACAGUCUGCCGGCUGUGAGACGAGUCAGAAACCGUUGAUGUAGGCGAAGGACAUGCGAAAGGUCCGGCGUAGAGGGUAAGACCCCCGUAGUCGAAACGUCAGCGGCUCGUUUGAGAGACACCCAAGUAGCACGGGGCCCGAGAAAUCCCGUGUGAAUCUGGCGGGACCACCCGCUAAGCCUAAAUAUUCCCUGGUGACCGAUAGCGGAUAGUACCGUGAGGGAAUGGUGAAAAGUACCCCGGGAGGGGAGUGAAAUAGUACCUGAAACCGUGUGCCUACAAGCCGUGGGAGCGUCGGACAUCAGCUUGCUGGUGUCUCGUGACUGCGUGCCUUUUGAAGAAUGAGCCUGCGAGUUUGCGGUGUGUUGCGAGGUUAACCCGGGUGGGGUAGCCGUAGCGAAAGCGAGUCCGAAUAGGGCGAUUCAGUAGCACGCUCAAGACCCGAAGCGGAGUGAUCUAGCCAUGGGCAGGUUGAAGCGGAGGUAAGACUUCGUGGAGGACCGAACCCACCAGGGUUGAAAACCUGGGGGAUGACCUGUGGUUAGGGGUGAAAGGCCAAUCAAACUCCGUGAUAGCUGGUUCUCCCCGAAAUGCAUUUAGGUGCAGCGUCGUGUGUUUCUUGCCGGAGGUAGAGCACUGGAUAGGCGAUGGGCCCUACCGGGUUACUGACCUUAGCCAAACUCCGAAUGCCGGUAAGUGAGAGCGCGGCAGUGAGACUGUGGGGGAUAAGCUCCAUGGUCGAGAGGGAAACAGCCCAGAGCAUCGACUAAGGCCCCUAAGCGUACGCUAAGUGGGAAAGGAUGUGGAGUCGCACAGACAACCAGGAGGUUGGCUUAGAAGCAGCCACCCUUGAAAGAGUGCGUAAUAGCUCACUGGUCUAGUGAUUCCGCGCCGACAAUGUAGCGGGGCUCAAGCGUACCGCCGAAGUCGUGUCAUUGACACAUAUAGCCCCAACGGGUGUGUUGAUGGGUAGGGGAGCGUCGUCUGCCGGGUGAAGCAGCACCGGAAGGUAGUUGUGGACGGUUGACGAGUGAGAAUGCAGGCAUGAGUAGCGAUACAAACGUGAGAAACGUUUGCGCCGAUUGACUAAGGGUUCCUGGGUCAAGCUGAUCUGCCCAGGGUAAGUCGGGACCUAAGGCGAGGCCGACAGGCGUAGUCGAUGGAUAACCGGUUGAUAUUCCGGUACCCGCUGUGAAGCGUCAAACAUCGAAUCCAGUGAUGCUAAGCCCGUGAAGCCGCCCCUGAUCUCUUCGGAGUGAGGGGGAGUGGUGGAGCCGGUGACCCGAGCUGGUAGUAGGUGAGUGAUGGGGUGACGCAGGAAGGUAGUCCAUCCCGGGCGGUGGUUGUCCCGGGGUAAGGGUGUAGGACGCAGGGUAGGCAAAUCCGCCCUGCACAUAGUCUGAGACCUGAUGCCGAGCCGAUUGUGGUGAAGUGGAUGAUCCUAUGCUGUCGAGAAAAGCCUCUAGCGAGUUUCAUGGCGGCCCGUACCCUAAACCGACUCAGGUGGUCAGGUAGAGAAUACCGAGGCGUUCGGGUGAACUAUGGUUAAGGAACUCGGCAAAAUGCCCCCGUAACUUCGGGAGAAGGGGGGCCAUUCCUGGUGACCGGCUUUGCGCCGUGAGCUGGGGGUGGCCGCAGAGACCAGCGAGAAGCGACUGUUUACUAAAAACACAGGUCCGUGCGAAGCCGUAAGGCGAUGUAUACGGACUGACGCCUGCCCGGUGCUGGAACGUUAAGGGGACCGGUUAGUGACCUUUCGGGGUUGCGAAGCUGAGAACUUAAGCGCCAGUAAACGGCGGUGGUAACUAUAACCAUCCUAAGGUAGCGAAAUUCCUUGUCGGGUAAGUUCCGACCUGCACGAAUGGCGUAACGACUUCUCGACUGUCUCAACCAUAGGCCCGGUGAAAUUGCACUACGAGUAAAGAUGCUCGUUUCGCGCAGCAGGACGGAAAGACCCCGGGACCUUUACUACAGUUUGAUAUUGGUGUUCGGUUCGGCUUGUGUAGGAUAGCUGGGAGACUGUGAAGCUCAUACGCCAGUAUGGGUGGAGUCGUCGUUGAAAUACCAGUCUGGUCGUGCUGGAUGUCUAACCUGGGUCCGUGAUCCGGAUCAGGGACAGUGUCUGAUGGGUAGUUUAACUGGGGCGGUUGCCUCCCAAAGGGUAACGGAGGCGCCCAAAGGUUCCCUCAGCCUGGUUGGCAAUCAGGUGUUGAGUGUAAGUGCACAAGGGAGCUUGACUGUGAGACCGACGGGUCGAGCAGGGACGAAAGUCGGGACUAGUGAUCCGGCGGUGGCUUGUGGAAGCGCCGUCGCUCAACGGAUAAAAGGUACCCCGGGGAUAACAGGCUGAUCUUCCCCAAGAGUCCAUAUCGACGGGAUGGUUUGGCACCUCGAUGUCGGCUCGUCGCAUCCUGGGGCUGGAGUCGGUCCCAAGGGUUGGGCUGUUCGCCCAUUAAAGCGGUACGCGAGCUGGGUUUAGAACGUCGUGAGACAGUUCGGUCCCUAUCCGCUGUGCGCGUAGGAGUCUUGAGAAGGGCUGUCCCUAGUACGAGAGGACCGGGACGGACGAACCUCUGGUGUGCCAGUUGUUCUGCCAAGGGCAUGGCUGGUUGGCUACGUUCGGGAGGGAUAACCGCUGAAAGCAUCUAAGCGGGAAGCCUGCUUCGAGAUGAGGACUCCCACCCACUUGAUGGGGUAAGGCUCCCAGUAGACGACUGGGUUGAUAGGCCGGAUCUGGAAGCACCGCAAGGUGUGGAGGUGACCGGUACUAAUAGGCCGAGGGCUUGUCCUCAGUUG